AUGUCGUCGUCGUGGGUGGUGGAUGUCGACUGCCAUGAGCCGCAGGCGAAGGUGGAGGGAUGGGUGGUGGACAUGGAGAAGAAGCUCGAGGACGCGGAGCCGCGGGCGAAGGUGCUGAGAUGGCCGAAGCACUGCAUCUUCCGCGUCCCACUGCGCUUCAAGAUGAAGACGGUGGAUGGCAUCGCGAGCAGCGUAUUCAAGCCGCAGACAGUGUCUCUCGGCCCAUUCCACCACGAUGACAAGGAGCUGAAACCCAUGGAGGAGCACAAGCUGAGAGCCGUCCGUCAUCUCCUCAGUCGUGACCAUGCUGAUGCUGGUCGGGUCAGCAAGCUGACCCUUGGCGGGCUCGUCGCCGCCGUGCAGAAGGUGGCGGACGAGCUGGAGGAUGCCUACAUGGACCUGGACGAGGAGUGGCGGGGUGAGAACAGGGGCAAAUUCCUUGAGAUGAUGAUCACGGAUGGCUGCUUCCUGCUGGAGGUGAUGAGGACUGCCGCAGGGAAGGAGUCCAUUCCCAAGGACUACGCUCAUGGCGACCCUGUCUUCAGCUCGUACGGCAUCCAGCACAUCAAGCCCUUCAUCCAGCGUGACAUGCUCAUGGUCGAGAACCAGCUGCCACUGAGGUUGCUUGAGACGAUCGUCGCCGUGGAGGACGGCACAUGUCCGAGCGCGGCUUCGAUAAACUCCAUGGUGCUCAAGUUCCUCGAAAGGGAAGAUGCCCCGGAAGGGACCGGCCUGGGACUCCACCCUCUUGACAUCUACCGGACGAGCCGACUAAAGGGCACAAGUCAGAUCAAGAGUAACAGAAAGGUUCUUCACAGAGGCAUGCCGAUGACACGAACAACAAAGGAGGUCAGCGUCGUUCGCCCGGAGAGAGUGGUGCCCCGAUCCGCGUGGAAGCUGUCGGAGGCGGGAAUUCAGUUCCUGCCCAGCAACACGAGCUGCCUCGACGACAUAGAGCUACACAACGGGAGGCUCUACAUGCCCAAGGUCGAGAUGGACGACUCCACCGCCUACAGGAUCCACAACAUGAUGGCGUUCGAGGCGAUGCACGUCAGCACUGGCAAUGACGUGACGGCAUACGUGUUGUUCGUCAAGGACCUCAUCAACUCUGCCGAUGACGUGCAACUACUGGAGAGGAAGGGGAUCCUGGAGCACGACCUCGCUGACGACGACAACGCUGUGGUGAGGCUCUUCAACAGCCUCACCAGAGACGUGUCCAAGAAUUGGAAGAGUCACCUGUCCCAGGUGCGUCAGGACGUGGAUCACCAUUACCGCAGCAACCGUUUGCGUGUCUUUCUCUAUGAGGCGUGGUCAAACCUUAAGAGCAAGUACUUCAGGAGCCCGUGGACACUCCUCGCCCUUGUCACCGCAAUCCUGCUCGUCGUCGGAGAUAUCAUGCAGGCUGUGUAUGCAGUCAUAGGCUAUGAUCCUAACGAGAAGGGCAAGCCCAAAAUGAAUUAA
rnacentral:rRNA from 1 species